rnacentral:tRNA from 1 species
GCCUGGGUGGCUCAGUUGGUUAGGCAUCUGACUUCGGCUCAGGUCAUCUUCUCACGGUUCAUGGGUUCAAGCCCCAUGUCAGGCU